GGUUUUCAGAUUUCGCUCUUAAGUGUUUUACUCAGUUGAAUUGUAUUCAGUGCGUCAUUCGCUCUCUCAAAAAGUCACAUAAAAAAAAAAAAAUUAUUAUUGACCGCGUAGUUUUUGAGUUAUGGCCAUAGCAACACCAUAGCAACGAGGGACGCGCCGUCCUGCCGACCCCUACCUCGUGACGUAACUUCCAGGAAGCCUCGCCACCACUCUGAACACGGAAAUAUAGCACCACGCUAUCCUCGCUAUAUAUUGCAAACAUUUUCUGGGUUUUACUCGCGGGAUUCGUCAUGCCAUCUCGAUGUGUAGCGAUAUGAAUUACUCACAGGAAGACUCGAGACUCUAAGAGUGGUCCAAAAAAAACCUUCUCCUGCAAAGCCACGACAGCUUUGAAAACCUACAGCAAUGCAACCUUGGUUUUCCAAAGACGAAGCCAAACAUAAAAAAUUAAGUGGCAGAAACCCUCAACACGAUGAAAAAAGCGUUGCAAGUCAGUUGCCACCCAGUUUCCCAAAAUCAAGAGAGAGUGGGUCAAGUCAUAUGAUGACCGAAGUGAUGCGGUGUCCAGCGAUGACGACUGAAGAGAUCCUAUGAGGCCUGCCAGAUGCUGAAUUUCUUCCGUCUGCGACAUCAGAUGACGAUGAUUUAGGAGAAAUAAAUGUAGCAAAUUUUGAUGACAUGAAAUAAUAAACUAGUCAUAUAUACAGUACACAUUUUUUAAAAGAAAAAUCAAGUUACCUUCAUAUUUUAAUGAAAAUGCAUUGUCUUUGUAUAGAGAACACUUCAUGCUACAGAAAAGAGUAAAUACAUAUUUCCCACUGCCAUUAUCAUUUUUCAAUGUUGCGCUAGUCCGUUGCUAUCCUAACUUUGUGUUGCUUACUAAAAUUAUGCUCUUUGAUGUGUGCCGUUGUGUGCUUGGUAUAACAUGUUGUGUCACAAUCUGACAACGAAAGCUCAUGCUGAUUCAACAUAAACCUGGUAUCAUUUAUUAUUGCGGGCUAUUGAAUAUUUUUUCAGAAUGUAAUAUAAUUACAAUAUAUUAUAUACCAAUAGAAUACAUUAAACAGUCAACAAAAUGUGUCAAUGUUGUUAACAAUUUAUGGUUUUAUUUUUUUAAUGAAAUUCAUGCCCCUGUCGGUGCUUCAGCCGCCACAAGUUUGGCUCUCACGUCUGGGAUCUCCUGAUGACACAGGCAUACUCUUGGAAGGGUAAUUACUUGACGGUUUACAGCAACACCUGGAAAAUAAAAUGGUUUUGUCAUUUAUUUUGAAAUAUCAAUAACAUAUCAUUCAUUUAGCCACAUUUGGGCUAGCAUUAUCAUAUUUAGAUUGGUAGGAGCUGUCCCAUUACCUAAAAUCCAGUUUUAGCUAUGUGUAGAGCAUUCG